rnacentral:rRNA from 1 species
AACGAACGCUGGCGGCAGGCUUAACACAUGCAAGUCGAACGGUACAGCAAUGUACAGUGGCGCACGGGUGAGUAACGCGUGGGAAUAUGCCCUUUAGUACGGAAUAGCCUCGGGAAACUGGGAUUAAUACCGUAUACGCCCUUCGGGGGAAAGAUUUAUCGCUAAAGGAUUAGCCCGCGUGAGAUUAGGUAAUUGGUGGGGUAAUGGCCUACCAAGCCUACGAUCUCUAGCUGGUCUGAGAGGAUGAUCAGCCACACUGGAACUGAGACACGGUCCAGACUCCUACGGGAGGCAGCAGUGGGGAAUAUUGGGCAAUGGACGAAGGUCUGACCCAGCCAUGCCGCGUGAGUGAUGAAGGCCUUAGGGUUGUAAAGCUCUUUCGUUGGUGACGAUAAUGACGGUAACCAAAGAAGAAGCCCCGGCUAACUUCGUGCCAGCCGCCGCCGUAA